rnacentral:rRNA from 1 species
UACGUAGGUGGCAAGCGUUGUCCGGAUUUACUGGGCGUAAAGAGCGCGCAGGCGGUCGUUCAAGUCGCGUGUGAAAGCCCCCGGCUCAACUGGGGAGGGUCACGCGAUACUGAUCGACUCGAAGGCAGGAGAGGGAAGUGGAAUUCCCGGUGUAGUGGUGAAAUGCGUAGAUAUCGGGAGGAACACCAGUGGCGAAGGCGACUUCCUGGCCUGUUCUUGACGCUGAGGCGCGAAAAGCUAGGGGAGC